GACGAACGCUGGCGGCGCGCUUAACACAUGCAAGGUCGUGCGGUGUCGAAGGCAAGUCUUACGACAAGCCUUCGACACAGCGGCGAACGGGUGAGUAACACGUGAGUAGCUGUCCUAAGGAGGGGGAUAACGCCUGGAAACGGGUGCUAACACCCCAUAUGCCUCGCAAGAGGUGAAAGUGUACUUGCUACAGCCUUAGGGUGUGCUCGCGGCCUAUCAGCUAGUUGGUGAGGUAACGGCUCACCAAGGCCAAGACGGGUAGCCGGCCUGAGAGGGUGUACGGCCACACUGGAAUUGAGAUACGGUCCAGACUCCUACGGGAGGCAGCAGUGGGGAAUCUUGGGCAAUGGGCGAAAGCCUGACCCAGCCAUGCCGCGUGAAGGAAGACGGCCUUAUGGGUUGUAAACUUCUUUACUACGCGAAUAGAGGUUAGUACGAGAUACUAAUAGGAAGGUAGUGUAGUAAAAAGCACCGGCUAACUCCGUG
rnacentral:rRNA from 1 species